rnacentral:rRNA from 1 species
CUAGAAAAGAUUUUUCAUAUGUCUUACUCGCCCGUACCGUAAACCGACACAGGUGGGUGAGUGUAAAUGCACUAAGGCGCGCGAGAGAGACCUCUCUAAGGAACUCGGCACAUUAGCCUCGUAACUUCGGGAAAAGAGGUGCUCACUUCGGUGAGCCACAGUAAAUUGCGUUUAGCGACUGUUUAACAAAAACACAGCACUCUGCUAAGUCGUUAAGACGACGUAUAGGGUGUGACACGUGACCAAUGCGGAAAGAUUAAGGCAUUUUGUUAGCCGCAAGGCGAAGCUCGGUGCCAAAGUCCCCGUGAAUGUCGGCCGUAACUAUAACGGUCCUAAGGUAGCGAAAUUCCUUGUCGGGUAAGUUCCGACCUGCACGAAUCGUGUAACGACUGAACGACUGUCUCGGAGAGGAUCUCGGCGAAACUGUAACUGCGGUGAAGAUGCCGCAUGCCCGCAGUAGGACGGAAAGACCCUAUGCACCUUUACUGUAAGCUGGUAUUGUGUUCUGAUUAAUAAUGCGUAGCGUAGGUGGGAGGCUUUGAAGUGAGUGCUUCGGUGCUCAUGGAGCCGCAAUGUGAAACACCACUCUUUGCUAAUUAGGAUUCUAACCUCGAUUCCUGUCAACCAGGCGAGGGACAGUGCUUGCGGGUCAGUUUGACUGGGGCGGUUUCCUCCCAAAGAGUAACGGAGGAGCGCGAAGCUUGGCUCAGCACGGUUGGCAACCGUGCGUCGAGCGUAUGGGUAUAAGCCAGGUUAACUGUGAGACCUACAAGUCGAGCAGAUGCGAAAGCAGGCCCAAAUGAUCCGAUGGUUUAAUGUGGAAUUGCCAUCGCUCAACGGACAAAAGGUACGCUAGGGAUAACAGGCUGAUCGGUUCCAAGAGUUCACAUCGACGAACCGGUUUGGCACCUCGAUGUCGGCUCAUCGCAUCCUGGGGCUGGAGAAGGUCCCAAGGGUCCGGCUGUUCGCCGGUUAAAGCGGUACGCGAGCUGGGUUCAGAACGUCGUGAGACAGUUCGGUCCUUAUCCACUGUGGGCGCAGGAAUCUUGAGGGGUUCAUUCUCUAGUACGAGAGGACCGAGAAUGACGCACUUCUGGUGUGGCAGUUGUUCCAUCAGGGGCAUCGCUGCGUAGCCAUGUGCGGAAGAGAUAAGCGCUGAAAGCAUCUAAGUGCCAAGCUCAUCCCAAGAUAUGGAUUCCCGGACGCAAGUCCCUAAAGACCCCCGGCAGACUACCGGGUUGAUAGGUCAGGCAUGUAAGCGUCGCGAGAUGUUUAGUGGACUGAUACUAAUUGGUCGUGCGGCUUGAUCGC